AGCUCGGUGGUGUAGUGGUAGAGCACGCGUCUUCAGUAAGGAUGAAACGCGGAUUCGAUUCCCGUCUGAGGCCU